AAGGGCACCACAAGAACGCGUGGAGCAUGUGGAUUAAUUUGACUCAACACGGGAUACCUUACCAGGUCCGUCCACAUUAAGGAUUGACAGGUGAUAAUUAUUAGUAAUUUAUUAUUAAUAAUGCAAAUAUGAUAGUCCUUUCAUGAUUAUGUGAUAGGUGGUGCAUGGCCGUUCAUAGUUCGUGGAGUGAUCUGUAUGGUUAAUUGCGCUUCAGAUUAAACAUGUUAUAUAAAAAUUAGAGUUUGAGUUUAUUUAUAUCAAUUUAGUUAUUUAUUCCUAUUAACUUUAUAUAUACAUUUAUUGAAUGCAACGAACGUGACCG
rnacentral:rRNA from 1 species